rnacentral:rRNA from 1 species
AUUGAACGCUGGCGGCAUGCCUUACACAUGCAAGUCGAACGGCAGCAUAGGAGCUUGCUCCUGAUGGCGAGUGGCGAACGGGUGAGUAAUAUAUCGGAACGUGCCCUAGAGUGGGGGAUAACUAGUCGAAAGACUAGCUAAUACCGCAUACGAUCUACGGAUGAAGGUGGGGGAUCGCAAGACCUCAUGCUCCUGGAGCGGCCGAUAUCUGAUUAGCUAGUUGGGGGGGUAAAAGCCUACCAAGGCAACGAUCAGUAGCUGGUCUGAGCGGACGACCAGCCACACUGGGAGUGAGACACGGCCCAGACUCCUACGGGAGGCAGCAAUGGGGAAUUUUGGACAAUGGGGGCAACCCUGAUCCAGCAAUGCCGCGUGAGUGAAGAAGGCCUUCGGGUUGUAAAGCUCUUUUGUCAGGGAAGAAACGGUAGUAGCGAAUAACUACUGCUAAUGACGGUACCUGAAGAAUAAGCACCGGCUAACUACGUGCCAGCCGCCGCCGUAA